rnacentral:lncRNA from 1 species
GUAUUAAUAGAAGUAUUGAAGCAGGUGGGUAAUUAAUUUAUUGUUACUUUGUUGAUGUCUAUCAAUGUGAAAAUAAUACUUAAGUUUUGAAAGUCACAGUUUAUGAAAUUGGUUAUGAAUUCCAAAUUCUGGGUCGUAUGAAGUAUGUUUAUGGAUUACUGAAGAACAGGCAUAGUUAUUGGAAGUACUAUUACUGAUUUUCUCCUUAAUAUUCCCUUCCAAGUUAAAAGUCAUCCUUGUUUUUCAGAUUCCACUUCAUCCUGUAAUAGAUGGUUUAAUUCAUGAUGUUAUUAACUUGGCUUUCAAGCACUUUAAAUACAAAGAAGGGUAAGGUGAUUUCUUGCCUUAGAGUUUUGAAGAAGUUGGGUGCUUAAAACUGAAUCACUGGUUGGAUUUUUCAGGUGAGCAGAGAUCCUAACUUGUCUAAUUUUUCCUUAUUUAGGUAUCUUGGUCCUAACACUGGCAAUAUGCACAUUGUGGCCGACCUGUAUGCGGAAGUCAUUGGAGUGUUAGCACAAGCUAAGUAAGUGAGCCCCGAAGCCCUGGACCGAGAACACAGGAGUGUCUCUGACUUAAGGAGAGGCAGCUUUGAGCUCACAAGGAACUCUGGUUCUUUUUACCAAGCAUACCCACCCCGAAAACUAAUUAGAGUCUCCUCCAAGGCAGGUACCUAGUUAACUUUUUCACCCAGGCAGUUGGGCCAGAUCCUGCUGAGUCCGUGGUUUUAGACAACUGCUUCAAAGAAAGAAAUGGACUCACCAAAUUACUUUUCUGUCUGUUCAGAUAUUCUAAAGGUGUUUAUCAAUUUUUUUUCAGGUUUUGUUUUCUAUAGUCCCCAAGUGGGUGGUAGCAAUCUAUCAUUCAUGAAUGGGAAAUUCCAUUCUAUAAUGUCCCGUUUACUCUAGACCUUACUUAAUUCAGCUGAGCUAAAAGUGUCCCAGCGUCUGCCAUGGAAACAAGUGGGGGUGGGGGAGUUCUCAUUACUAAAUUUAUCUGGCCCCAUAACUCCAUUUAACAGGCUAGAACAUAGUGUUAGACUAUUAGCAAUAACAUACUUCUUCCAAAAGUGAUGUCACACCAUACUUACCCAUCUUCAUUUUAUCCAACCCUGAGGCAAACCAAGCAAGAUCCCAAAUGCCUACUUUGGGCAAAAUGAGGCAGAGACAUAAGGAGAAUUUAAGCCAAGAGGCCAGUUGGCUUUGUUGAUGCCCCAAUCCUUGGGAAAGACAAUCCUCCAAAGAGAUUUCCAUCUUUAAUAGAUGGAAUUUCCUAAGUCAGUAGCAUGUAAAUACACAACUUUUCUAAACUUUGAAAUACUUAUUCAGCAACCUUACCUAGCCAAAAUGUAGACAGGAACUUGGGAGAUAGACCCCCCAAAAAUCCUUGGCCUGAUUUAUUUAGUCUAAUCCAAUCUAUCUACUCAUCCCAACUACUUGUUUUUUUCCUAACAUAAUUCAUCAGUGUUAGAAGGUAGAGAAUGAAUUUUUGUGGAGGGCAAUACAGGUCAAAAGCUGACAGCAAAAGAAGAAAGAAACUUGCCAAAGCAUUCAGAAGAAUUCUGUAUUCCCAAUUCUAUUAUCUGGACCUUUUUGUAUGAGUCUGUGUUGUACUUUUAUGAUAGCCUAUUAUUAUAAUUGUGGUUCAUGAAUCAUUAAGGGAUAAAGGUGCAUUUUGGAGAAAUUUCCAUUGCAAGUAGGAAAUAAAGACAUAGAUAUUUAACUGGAUAAGUUGCAAGUAUCUGAAAAUUAACUCAUGUGUAUCUUCCACAUUCCAAAAAUGAUCCAAAGAAGGAAGUAUUGAUAUGUAUACUUGCUGGUUUGUCAAACUCUGAAAAUCUCAGCGUAUUUCUUUAUAAUUAUCUUGGCUUAAUUCUCUUGUGCUCUCAUUUGGACAGCUUAGUAUUCCAAAAGUGGCUUUUUUGUGUGUUAUUCCUAUUUUUAAGAAUUAUGCAUAACAAUGUCAGAUACUGUCAAAUGACCUCCCUUAGUUCCAUACAUUUUGAAUAAAUUGAGAAAUAAUGUCAAAACUGAGUAGAGUUUGAAAUUGCAGGAGUUUCCAUAUUAGGAUAGAUCUAGGAUGCACUGAGCCAGUAUUUUCUUGCCAACAGUGGCUUUUUUCAUUUUCUUGACGUCGAUAUUUGUCCCAAUUCUGCAAUAGCUAAGUGUUAAAAAUGUCUCAAUUUGGUCAGUGCUUCAGUAUUUUCCAGUCACUGGGGAACUCUUUAAUUCCUGUCUUUCAGGGAAAUUUUUUUACUAUUAAGUGAUAUUCACACAUAGUAUUGGCUUUUUUCAAAGUCAAUUAAGCUAAAAUUAGAUUUUUUUUUUUAAGUACCUUGGCCAGUCUGCUCUUGCAGUGAUCAGACUCAAAUAGCCCAUGGUAUGUUCUCAACCAGGCAAUGUGUAGCUAACCUUUAUUGAUAGAUAAUACAAUCUUACCUUAGUGUCAUACGUCUUCGUUCUCAUAAGUAUACCAGGACCAUUUCUUUAUCUUCACUUUAGAAAAGUACUGCUUCUCUUGUUCUCAAGGAGAUAAACCCCCCAAAACACUUUUUUUUAAAAUCUGGUUCAAUGUGAUUAACAUUCCUAAAAAUGAUAAGUAUUAUAAUAAUUUGAAUUUUAGAUUGUGUAUCUAUUUUCCAAUGAUAAUGCAUAUUAAAUAUUUUCCACAUUAUAACUUCAGGUUUUAAGGCUUACUUGGUCGUUGAGUUUUAGCAGAAUCACUGUUUUAAUCUUCCUGGUAAUAAUAAUACUACUUAAUUCCUGUCAGUAAGGAAUGUAUUCCUAUUAAGAGAUAUCCAUACAUAGUAUUGACUUUUUCAAAGUAAAUUAAGUUAAAUUAGAUUUUUCUGUGUACUUUGGUUAAAAAUAUAUGCUGUGCAUAUGCACAAUAUAUCUUAAUGUGAAAUGUAUAGUAUUGCCAAAGGCUGAGUAUUUACUUACUGUAUUUGUCUAAGUUCUAAAGAAAAGGUCACUGAAAAAUUGGCUUUUCCCUAUAAUCAUUGUAAGGGAAGUGGAUUUUUGGAUUGCUUUUAUGCUAACAUAACAUGUUCAUAUCAUUUGGAACUUUCAACAGUAAAAGAUAGUCAUACUUAUUUUUAAAUUAGAAAUAAAGUUUCAGCAGCCAUCUCAUGAGAAGAUCGAUAGACUGAGUUAUACAAAUAACCUGGCCUUUCCUACCUCUGCUUAGUCAAGUAUAAAAGGUGUAAGAACAAAUGUUUAAAUGUGUAUCUUUUCUGUGAAAAUUACCUUUAUUUCGUUCAUCAGUAGAAGUAAAAUCAGAUUUCACAAAAUUUCAACUUUGAAAAGGAGCUUCAAGUAGCCUAGCCAUGUGCCAUCUGCAAGAGACCUCUCAAUGACCUGCUCAGCUUCUGCUUACAUGCCUCCAUGACAGGAAACUCACUAUCUCCCCCAAAGGAAAUUAACCCACUCAGAACAUGUACUGAGCACCUACUAUAUGCCUGAUCUUUUGUGGCGCUUACAGCUCAUCAGUGGAGUCAGACAACCAACAAAAUCCCAUAGACAAUUAAAUUAUAUAAUAUAUUAGAGUUCAUUCCAUUUUCAAAUGUCUUUUUGCCAUAAGUUUUCCCUUCAUUUUCUUCCAUGUAAUGAUUUAGUGCUUGAAGAAAGUGUUCAUGGCCUUCUCAAGUCACUCACUUUCAAUCUGUACACUCCUCAUUGGCUAGGCAGUUACUCAUAUGUAUUGGUUUACUGGAGACAGUGUAACAAAGGACCACAGUUUGGAUGGCUUCAACAACAGACAUUUAUUUACACACUGUUCUGGAGGCUAGAGGUUCAAGAUCAAGGUGCUGGCUAAAGUGGUUUCUUCUAUGACCUCUUCCCCUUGAGCUUGCAGGUGGCCACCUUCUCCCUAUGUCCUCAUGAGGUCCUUUCCCAUUGUGGGCAUACUUUUUCCUCUUCUAUUCUCUAGGCAUAUUGGAUGGGGGCCACCCUAACUCAAUCACCUCUUUAAAGCCCCUGACUCCAAACAUAGUCACAUUCUAAGAUACAUGAAAUUAAUACUUUUUUGUAUGAUCCAGAGUUGGGGACACUUUAGUCCAUAAAAGUAGGUCUGGGGAAGGUCCAGAAAAUGUGCAUUCUAGUAAGCUUCCAGAUGCUGCCAAUUUGGAGAACGUGUUUUUGAGAAUGACUGGUUUAGACAUAGAGAUUCUAGAACAAGACUUGGCUUCAAAUGCUAGCUUCUGAGCCUCUCAGCUAUGAAAUUUUAUCAGGUUAUGAAAUCUUUCUCUAGUUUCCUCUUCCAUUAAAAAAAUGAUAUAAUAUUGAACCUGCACACAGUGUUGUUGAGGAUUAGAUAAGUCACUAUAUGUAACUGGCCCGUGGCUGGUGUGGAGUGGGUACUGUAUCUGCUUGCUACUAUUGUCAUCAUUUCCAUCAAUUUUUAUCUAUAAGAUUUAGAAAAGGAUGAUGACAUUGGAGCUUUGAAUUUAUAUUCCAAAAUAUUCAACAGUGUAGUUUUAAAACUUCUUCAAAUAGAUGUUAUCUGAUAUCAAAUCUAUUUUGUAAGUUUUAUAAAUAAAAUUUGCAUUUCAAUUUUGCUGAUUUCUUCAUCCUAAAAAAUAAUACAUAAUCUUCCAACUAGUCUCCAUGAUAUUUUACUUGUAAAGUAAACACAACUAAUAUUUUUUAUCUUAUUUCAAUAGUAUUUAAGAAAUGUCAGAAUGGGCCUGUUUGGAAUGCUGUCUUGAAAGUGAAUGUUUUGUGGAAAGCCACAAAAUGCUACCACAGAUUAGGAAUAAACCCUGAAAUAUCCUUAACUACAUUAACAACCCAUUAGAGAAUAUCUCAUUCAUAAAGUAUUUGUGCCUUGAAGUUAUUUAUAUUUUCUGCUCUAUUGCCUUUGUAAAAUCUUUUUAUUGUGAAAUACAUGUAGCAAAUAUACAUAAAAACCCAUAAAACAAAUAUAUAGUUUAACAAAUUGUUAUAAAAUGAACACCAUGUAAUUUCUCUCCACCCCCCAAAACUGGCCCCUUUCCAUUUGGGAAACGGUCUGUGUGCUUGGCUACCUUUAUUGUGUGUCCUAAAACUUCUACUUUGAGGCAAGACUUGUUCCCACCUUCUGUGAUUCUAUUGGUUUGCUUCUAUUAGUUUGCCUUUAGCUUUUGUAAUCACAAGUACGUUUUCUAAUCAUACCUGGCUUUCUGUGUUUUUCUUUUCUGUUUUUUAACUACUAAUCAAAGCAGCAUAUCUCAGAAGUUUAAAAAAAAAAUCGUAGGUUUUUAAAAAGCCAUUCUUUUUUUAAACUAAUAUGACAUGGUUGUUGGUGUUGCGAUUAAUAUUAUUUUGCUUUCAAAUAAUACAAAUAAGUUUCUUUUGUUUGUUUUCAUAUUCACCACAUUAAAUUAUAAAAUCCCAUACAUAUAAUAGACAGCCCAUAUCUUUUAAACAUAAUUUUCCCAUUACUAGAUUUUCCCAUUACUAGAUUUUUCCUUCAACUUAAAAAUAUAUUUUUCCAUGAUCAUUAAUCUAAAACUAUCAAGGAACAACAGGAGAAAAUUUUGGAAAUAGAUGUCAAAAUAUCUUUGGCAUUAUUUGUAAGUCCAAAAAUCAUUUGCUGUCACCGUCAGAAAUAACUGACCCUAGUAUGUUAUUACUCGCAUACUCAAAAUUUGACACUUUAGGCCCUGGAGGUCUGUAAGUAUGUUGGAAAUUGCUAAGCCCGAGGAAAUGGAGCUUUUUGUCUGCUCAAUUUAAGAGCUAAACCAUCUUGAGAGAGUCUAGAUAAUGCUGGGUCUGUUCCCUAGUCUGAAGGAGAGGUGAAGCAUCUUGUCGAAUAAGAGGGGAAAGGAGAAAAUUGGACUCUACCAAAUCCCGAAUGUCAAAUCCUUGUGAAAUGACAGUCAUUGUACUUCACCUGUUUCUAAGGAUCUGAUGACCGUGCACUGUCACUUUAGGUGCUGGAAGCCCCCAUUGCAUGGCUUUCCUGUCACUUGAUAAACCACUUACGUUCUUUUUGUAGAUUCCCUGCUGUCAAGAAGAAGUUUAUGGCAGAGUUAAAAGAAUUACGGCACAAAGAGCAAAAUCCGUAUGUGGUGCAGAGCAUUAUCAGCUUGAUAAUGGGAAUGAAAUUCUUUCGAAUUAAAAUGUAUCCAGUGGAAGACUUUGAGGCCUCUCUUCAAUUUAUGCAGGUAAAGUCCUGGACAAGAGCACUAAGUGAUGAUCAACUCAAAUAAUUCCCUUUAUCAGAAUGACACCUCGAUUGUGAAAACCCUUUAUAAGCGGGAUCCAACUUACAGUGAUUCAUCUAGUAGUAUUUCAACUUUAGUGGUGUGAUAGGUAUACACAUUCAGUAGAAACUGCAUUUCAAGUUUUGAAUUUGGAUCUUUUCCCAGGCUAGCACUAUGUGGUCUGAUCCUCUCUUUAGAUGCUGGGCAGAGCUCCUGGCCAACCCCAUCAUCAUGGUGGGAAACAGCCAGCACCACAAUGUGUUCUGUGGCUAGGCCAGGCCAUUCACUAAGUUAGGGGUGUUCAAUGCCAUUUCCUCUUAAUGAUAUUUUCAACUUAUGAUAAGUUGAUCUGGACAUCCCAUCAUCAUGAGCCAAGGAGCAUCUUGACUUAGAACAUCCUACCUUAUCAAUAAUUCUUUAAGUGCCUGGAACCAAACAAUAGAGUUACAGACACAUUGUUUCAUUUAUUAAAAUUUCCUGUUAUCUUUGGAGUAAAGUGUACAAUAGCAUUUCUUACUUUUUUGGUUUUUUUCUCUUUUAUUCAUUUUGAUAACAUUGUUCUGUGAAUACAAUAUAGCUGACACUUUUACUUUUUUAGAAAUUGAUAGCAUUGGAUUGGCUACAUCAACAUUUACAGGAAUCUUCAUUUAAAAAAAAAAAUCAACCAAAUCAUAUAGGUUUGAUGUCUAUCAACCUGAAUUCAUUAUGGUGCAUAGCAAAAAAAAAAAAAAAAAGUUACUAAUAAGAACUUGGGAAAGGCAGCAGAGCACAACAGACAGUAGUAUGGCAAUUUGUAAAUCAAUGGAUGUGUAACUGAUGUGAAUCUGCAAUCUGUGUAUGGGGUGAAGGUGGGAGUUCAUAACCCACUUGAAUCAAAGUGUGGAAUAUGAUAUGUCAAGAAAUUUGUAAUGUUUUGAACAACCCACAAUAAAAAAUUAAAAAAAAAAAAAAGAUUGUCAAACAUCAUAUGAUGAGAAGAGAAAGAAGUAGCAUUCAUAGAUAUUUCCAUUCCUGUUAUUCCAAUAAUUAUGUAAAUGUUGAAGGUAGUUACUAUAGGGGUAAUUUUAUACAAUAUUUUUAAUGAAUCUGCAUUUUUACUAUAAUCUGUCAGGUGAUGUGAAGUGUAGAAUUUUCCACUUUUGGUGUCUUGUCAACACUCAAAAAAUUUCAUAUUUUGAAGCACUUCAGAGUUCAUUUUUGGAUCAGAGUUGAUAAGAUUUUAUUUGUACUAUCAUACUGGUAGAUCAAAUUCAGUUAUUACCCCAAUCAGCAAAAGAACUAAGUUCUCUAAGUGCUUCAUAUUUAACUGGAUUUUGGUGUCUUUGAAACAAAAUUACUGUUCUAUUGAAAACAAACUCACUAAAUACUAUGUAGAUGGAUGUAUAUUGUUGGUUAUGUAUCCUUAUCAAUGAUGAAAAAUAAAAUGUGACUAUUUUCCUCUAAUGCAAAAAAAAAAAAAAAAGAGUUUACAACUGGGCACAGUGGAGCAUACCCGUAAUCCCAGCUGGUCAGGAGGUUGAGGUAGGAUUGCGAGUUCAAAGCCAGCCUCAACAACUUAAUGGGACUCAGUCUCUAAAUAAAAUAUAUUUUAAAAGGGGGGCUGGGGAUGUGACUCAGUGGUUAAACACCCCUGGGUUUAAUCCCUGGUACAAAAAAAAAAUUACAAAAACUUAGGUACCUGAAGGCAUUUUUCUAAUACUUCUGUAAAUUAGAUUUGGUACUCAUCUUACUUGAGACUUUGGAUGUAGGAGUUAUGAAUGUAGAUUGUACCAUUCUAUAAUCCAAAAGUCGGCUAUUAAAAAGACACGUAAUAAACAUAGGAGAGGAUGGGAGGAAACUGGAACCCUCAUGCCGUGCUAGUGUGAAUGCAAAACAGCCUGGAAGCUCCUCAGGUGCCCAAACGUAGAAUUACCCAAUGAUCCAACAGUUCCACUCUAGGUAUAUAUUAUACACCCAAGAAAAAUAAAAAUGUAUGUUCACACAUAAACUUGAACACAGAUGUUCAUAGCAGCAUUAUUCAUUGUAGGCCAAAGUGAAAAUAACUCAAAUGUCUGUGAACCAAUGAAUGGAUGAACAGAAUGUGACAUAUCCAUACAAUGGAAUGUACAAAAUGUGGUAUAUUCAUGCAGUAAAGUACUGAUGCAUGCUGCAAAAUAAAUGAACCUUAAAAAUAUACUUAGUAAAAGAAGCCAGGCACAAAAGCUCAUGUAGAAUGUGAAUCCAUUUACCUGAAAUGUCCAGAACUGGCAAAUCCAUAGAGAGAGAAAACAUGUUAAUGGUUGCCUAGGACUGAGCAUCGGAGUGGAUGGAGAGGUAGAGAGUAUCUGCCAAGGGGUACAGAGUUUCUUUGGGGGGCAUUAAAAAGUUCUAAAUUUGAUUGUGGUGAUAGAUGGAUGCACAACUGUUGGUAUACCAAAAUCCAGUGAACUGAAUAUUUCAAAUGAGUAAAUUGCAGAGUACACGAAUCAUCUCUCCAUAAAGCUGGUACGUAGAGGGGUGGAGAGAGGGAAGAUGGACAUUGUGUGUCAGACUUCUUGGAUUUGGAUUGAAGAACCAUAUUUAUCGGCUCUGUGACCUUAGCCAGUUACAUUGUCUUUUUCAUCCCAAUUAUAAUUCACCUAAAAGGUGCUGGUAAUGACACUAACGUUGAGGAUUCUUAGUAUAUGAUAAUCACUCGGUGAUUCUUAUCUAUUAUGUUUAUCCCACUUUCAUACUAAUAGAUCAUAUGUGUCUGUACUUGGGUGACAACUUGAUAUAUGCAUACAUAUGCAAAAGGUAGCAAAAGAACAUGAUCCUGGGAACCAUAAACUCCAUUCUGUCUGGGGAAAACGGUCUCUCUGACUCCUAGUUGGUAUUGCCCACCCAGAGCAGAGGUUGUAAUAUGAUGUUGGUAGACUGAGGACCUUAGCAGCUGGUCUUCCCAAUUGCAACUAUAAUAAAGGGUGAGAGCUAAUGUGGAAAUUAGUAUGUCAUCAAAUAUGUGUAGCCUGGAUUCUUGGAUGGGAAUAGGGCCUGGCAGAGACCACAGGAAGCACUAGCAGAAGGCCUGGAGGAGAAAAGGCUGGCAGUGCUCAAG